rnacentral:rRNA from 2 species
AAUAGCGGAGGAAAAGAAACCAACAGGGAUUGCCUCAGUAACGGCGAGUGAAGCGGCAAAAGCUCAAAUUUGAAAUCCUCCGGGAAUUGUAAUUUGAAGGUUGUUUUGGUUGGGAAAGAUUACUUUAAGUCCAUUGGAAAAUGGCGCCAUGGAGGGUGAUAGCCCCGUAAAAGUAAACCCCCUCCCUUAAUCCAAAACUUCCAAAGAGUCGAGUUGUUUGGGAAUGCAGCUCUAAGUGGGUGGUAAAUUCCAUCUAAAGCUAAAUAUUGGCGAGAGACCGAUAGCGAACAAGUACAGUGAUGGAAAGAUGAAAAGCACUUUGAAAAGAGAGUGAAAAAGUACGUGAAAUUGUUGAAAGGGAAGGGCUUGCAAGCAGACACAACCUCGGUUGGGCCAGCAUCGGAGUGGGGGGAGAUAAAAAUGGGUAGGAAUGUAGCUCUCCUUUUGAGUAUUAUAUCCUAACCUUUCCAUCUCCACCCCCUUCCGAGGCCUGCGAUCUCAAGGAUGCUGCGUAAGACGCGCU